UCCGGUUCUUCACCAGCAGUCUCCUUAGAGUUCCCACCUUUACGUGUUGGCAACUAAGGAUAGGGGUUGCGCUCGUUACGGGACUUAACCCAACAUCUCACAACACGAGCUGACGACAGCCAUGCAGCACCUGUCUCCGCGUUCCUUUCGGCACAACCAUAUCUCUAUAGUCUUCGCGGGAUGUCAAGGGUAGGUAAGGUUCUUCGCGUUGCAUCGAAUUAAACCACAUGCUCCACCGCUUGUGCGGGCCCCCGUCAAUUCCUUUGAGUUUUAACCUUGCGGCCGUACUCCCCAGGCGGAGAACUUAUCGCGUUAGCUUCGAUACUAAUAUGCUCUCGCACACCAACAUCUAGUUCUCAUCGUUUACAGCGUGGACUAC
rnacentral:misc_RNA from 1 species